rnacentral:rRNA from 1 species
UACGUAGGGUGCGAGCGUUAAUCGGAAUUACUGGGCGUAAAGCGUGCGCAGGGGGUAAGUUAAGUCUGAUGUGAAAGCCCCGGGCUCAACCUGGGAAUGGCAUUGGAAACUGGCUUGCUGGAGUGUGGCAGAGGGGGGUGGAAUUCCGCGUGUAGCAGUGAAAUGCGUAGAGAUGCGGAGGAACACCGAUGGCGAAGGCAGCCCCCUGGGCCAACACUGACGCUCAGGCACGAAAGCGUGGGGAGCAAACAGG